CAGUAGCCGCGGUAACACGGAGGGUGCAAGCGUUACUCGGAAUCACUGGGCGUAAAGGACGCGUAGGCGGAUUAUCAAGUCUCUUGUGAAAUCUAACGGCUUAACCGUUAAACUGCUUGGGAAACUGAUAAUCUAGAGUAAGGGAGAGGCAGAUGGAAUUCUUGGUGUAGGGGUAAAAUCCGUAGAGAUCAAGAAGAAUACCCAUUGCGAAAGCGAUCUGCUGGAACUUAACUGACGCUAAUGCGUGAAAGCGUGGGGAGCAAACAGGAUUAGAUACCCCCGUAGUCCCUGUCUCUUAUAC
rnacentral:rRNA from 1 species